GGUACACAGAAGGCGGGAGGCAGCAGUAACUGGUUGGUAGCUAGCUAGGACACCGGUAGAGUUUCAUUCGCCCCUCUUCAUACUUUUAUUUCCCCUUUGACCAACAUUUUAAUCUCAUAGAAUAUCAUGUGGCCCACAAGCAUGAAGAUCAAGGCUAACCUACUUCAUGAAGUGAUUUGUUUGACAAUCAGAUGAAAACCAGUCAUGAUGUUGUGUUUAUGCCACAUUAAAAGGUCAUACAUUUUGACAGUUAAAUGACAUGUCUUUACACAGAGGAGGUCCCGUGAAGAAAACAGAAGUGCCUCCUUAUGGAAAUCAAAUACCAGUCCAACUGAUUCAUCCUGGCGCCGGCCCUGAGAAACAGGCAGAGACUUUCAUAGCAGGAAACAACAUAAUGCAUAGGCUAUUACUGUUGACCAGAUAAUGGUUCUAGAACAAUCCACAGGGACGUUGUAUAG